UACGUAGGGGGCUAGCGUUGCUCGGAAUUACUGGGCGUAAAGCGCGCGUAGGCGGCGCUGUACGACCCGUGUGAAAGCCCCCGGCUCAACUGGGGAGGGUCACGCGAUACUGAUCGACUCGAAGGCAGGAGAGGGUAGUGGAAUUCCCGGUGUAGUGGUGAAAUGCGUAGAUAUCGGGAGGAACACCAGUGGCGAAGGCGACUACCUGGCCUGUUCUUGACGCUGAGGCGCGAAAGCUAGGGGAGCAAACGGG
rnacentral:rRNA from 1 species